rnacentral:rRNA from 1 species
GUGGGGAAUAUUGGACAAUGGGGGGAACCCUGAUCCAGCCAUGCCGCGUGUGUGAAGAAGGCCUUUUGGUUGUAAAGCACUUUAAGCGAGGAGGAGGCUACCGAGAUUAAUACUCUUGGAUAGUGGACGUUACUCGCAGAAUAAGCACCGGCUAACUCUGUGCCAGCAGCUGCGGUAAUACAGAGGGUGCAAGCGUUAAUCGGAUUUACUGGGCGUAAAGCGCGCGUAGGUGGCCAAUUAAGUCAAAUGUGAAAUCCCCGAGCUUAACUUGGGAAUUGCAUUCGAUACUGGUUGGCUAGAGUAUGGGAGAGGAUGGUAGAAUUCCAGGUGUAGCGGUGAAAUGCGUAGAGAUCUGGAGGAAUACCGAUGGCGAAGGCAGCCAUCUGGCCUAAUACUGACACUGAGGUGCGAAAGCAUGGGGAGCAAACAGGAUUAGAAACCCUAGUAGUCC